rnacentral:rRNA from 1 species
CCUACGGGAGACAGCAGUGGGGAAUAUUGGGCAAUGGGCUAAAGCCUGACCCAGCAACGCCGCGUGAAGGAAGAAGGCUUUCGGGUUGGAAACUUCUUUUGACAGGGAAGAGCAGAAGACUGUACCUGUCGUAUAAGCCACUGCUAACUACGUGCCAGCAGCCGCGGUAAUACGUAGGUGGCGAGCGUUGUCCGGAUUUAAUGGGUGUAAAGGGCGUGUAGGCGGGCUGACAAGUCCGAUGUGAAAUCCGGGGGCUCAACCCCCGAACUGCAGUUGAAACUGUUGGUGUUGAGUGUCGGAGAGGCAGGCGGAAUUCGUGGUGUAGCGGUGAAAUGCGUAGAUAUUAGGAGGAACA